GGAAGGAUCAUUCGCACGCAUUAUCCUAUCACCACUGUGAAUUCUUGGUGUGAGGCUUUGUGCAAGGAUGGAGAUUGCAUCGAUACCCUUGUGCAAAGACUCAAAGACGGCUGAGGCAGGAUGGGUGCUUGUCACCUCCUUUCUGUUUUGGUCGUCAACCUUUUCUACAUUGUGAUGUUCUUUUUCUUUGAAGUGCUUCGUCACUUCUCUCUUGUUUACAACUUUCAGCGAUCGAUGUCUCGGCUCGAACAACGAUGAAGGGCGCAGCGAACUGUGAUAAGCAUUGUGAAUUGCAGAAUUCCGUGAACCAAUAGAAACUUGAACGUAGACUGUGCUUUCGGGAUAUCCCUGAAAGCAUGCCUGCUUCAGUGUCCAAUUCAUUUCAUGCCGGCAACAUGAUCCACAUUGGUGGUGUUGUUGUUUGGUUGUGUUUGUGUGUUAAAGAGCUUCUGGCCUUUGACACAUUGAAUUCAUGGGGAAACCAUCCGGGGGCACAACAAUCCAUGCAUCCUUGAUGUUGUUUGUUCGUGCUUCUGGUUGGAUCCUUGCCAUCUAGUGUCCAACACUUUU
rnacentral:misc_RNA from 1 species